CCUACGGGAGGCAGCAGUGAGGAAUAUUGGUCAAUGGACGCAAGUCUGAACCAGCCAUGCCGCGUGCAGGAUGACUGCUCUAUGGGUUGUAAACUUCUUUUAUAUGAGAGUAAAGUCAAGUACGUAUAUCUCUCUGCAAGUAUCUUACGAAUAAGGAUCGGCUAACUCCGUGCCAGCAGCCGCGGUAAUACGGAGGAUUCAAGCGUUAUCCGGAUUUAUUGGGUUUAAAGGGUGCGUAGGCGGGUGGAUAAGUUAGAUGUGAAAUCUCGAGGCUCAACCGCGGAAUUGCAGUUGAUACUGGUAUGCUAGAGAGUAGUAGAGGUAGGCGGAAUGUGUGGUGUAGCGGUGAAAUGCUUAGAGAUCACACAGAACUCCGAUUGCGAAGGCAGCUUGCUGGGCU
rnacentral:rRNA from 1 species